GGAAUCUUCCACAAUGGACGAAAGUCUGAUGGAGCAACGCCGCGUGAGUGAUGAAGGGUUUCGGCUCGUAAAACUCUGUUGUUGGAGAAGAACGGGUGUCAGAGUAACUGUUGACAUCGUGACGGUAUCCAACCAGAAAGCCACGGCUAACUACGUGCCAGCAGCCGCGGUAAUACGUAGGUGGCAAGCGUUGUCCGGAUUUAUUGGGCGUAAAGCGAGCGCAGGCGGUUUUUUAGGUCUGAUGUGAAAGCCUUCGGCUUAACCGGAGAAGUGCAUCGGAAACCGGGAGACUUGAGUGCAGAAGAGGACAGUGGAACUCCAUGUGUAGCGGUGAAAUGCGUAGAUAUAUGGAAGAACACCAGUGGCGAAGGCGGCUGUCUGGUCUGCAACUGACGCUGAGGCUCGAAAGCAUGGGUAGCGAACAGGAUUAGAUACCCUGGUAGUCCAUGCCGUAAACGAUGAGUGCUAAGUGUUGGAGGGUUUCCGCCCUUCAGUGCUGCAGCUAACGCAUUAAGCACUCCGCCUGGGGGAGUACGACCGCAAGGUUGAAAC
rnacentral:rRNA from 1 species